GAUGAACGCUGGCGGCGUGCCUAAUACAUGCAAGUCGAGCGAACAGACGAGGAGCUGUACCCUAGCAGCUAACGGGGGAGUGGCACGUUAAAAACCGGCCACCUACCUUUUAAUACCGGUCUAACUCGGGGAAUCCGACCCAAUACCCGACAAAUUCUCUGAACGGCUGGGUUCAAAGGUUAAGGAGGUUUUUGUGGCUCCUUAUCGAUGAACCCGUGCCGCAUUAGCUGGUUGUAAAGGUAACGGCUUCCCAAGGCAACGUGGGGUAGCCGACCUGAGAGAGUGAUCGGCCACACUGGAACUGAGACACGGUCCAGACUCCUACGGGAGGCAGCAGUAGGGAAUCUUCCGCAAUGGGCGAAAGCCUGACGGAGCAACGCCGCGUGAGAGAUGAAGGUCUUCGGAUCGUAAAACUCUGUUAUUAGGGAAGAACAAAUGUGUAAGGAACUAUGCACGUCUUGACGGUACCUAAUCAGAAAGCCACGGCUAACUACGUG
rnacentral:rRNA from 1 species